CCUACGGGAGGCUGCAGUAGGGAAUCUUCCACAAUGGGCGCAAGCCUGAUGGAGCAACACCGCGUGAGUGAAGAAGGGUUUCGGCUCGUAAAGCUCUGUUGUUGGAGAAGAACGUGCGUGAGAGUAACUGUUCACGCAGUGACGGUAUCCAACCAGAAAGUCACGGCUAACGACGUGCCAGCAGCCGCGGUAAUACGUAGGUGGCAAGCGUUAUACGGAUUUAUUGGGCGUAAAGCGAGCGCAGGCGGUUGCUUAGGUCUGAUGUGAAAGCCUUCGGCUUAACCGAAGAAGUGCAUCGGAAACCGGGCAACUUGAGUGCAGAAGAGGACAGUGGAACUCCAUGUGUAGCGGUGGAAUGCGUAGAUAUAUGGAAGAACACCAGUGGCGAAGGCGGCUGUCUGGUCUGCAACUGACGCUGAGGCUCGAAAGCAUGGGUAGCGAACAGGAUUAGAUACCCUUGUAGUC
rnacentral:rRNA from 1 species